rnacentral:rRNA from 1 species
AGUUUGAUCAUGGCUCAGACGAACGCUGGCGGCAUGCCUAACACAUGCAAGUCGAACGAGACCUUCGGGUCUAGUGGCGCACGGGUGCGUAACGCGUGGGAACCUGCCUUUAGGUUCGGAAUAACUCAGAGAAAUUUGAGCUAAUACCGGAUAAUGUCUUCGGACCAAAGAUUUAUCGCCUUUAGAUGGGCCCGCGUUGGAUUAGCUAGUUGGUGGGGUAAAGGCCUACCAAGGCGACGAUCCAUAGCUGGUCUGAGAGGAUGAUCAGCCACACUGGGACUGAGACACGGCCCAGACUCCUACGGGAGGCAGCAGUGGGGAAUAUUGGACAAUGGGCGAAAGCCUGAUCCAGCAAUGCCGCGUGAGUGAUGAAGGCCUUAGGGUUGUAAAGCUCUUUUACUGGGGAUGAUAAUGACAGUACCCAGAGAAUAAGCUCCGGCUAACUCCGUG